rnacentral:rRNA from 1 species
CCUACGGGAGGCAGCAGUAGGGAAUAUUGCUCAAUGGGGGAAACCCUGAAGCAGCAACGCCGCGUGGAGGAUGAAGGUUUUCGGAUUGUAAACUCCUUUUGUUAGAGAAGAGAAUGACGGUAGCUAACGAAUAAGCACCGGCUAACUCCGUGCCAGCAGCCGCGGUAAUACGGAGGGUGCAAGCGUUACUCGGAAGCACUGGGCGUAAAGAGCGCGUAGGCUGGAUAGCAAGUCAGAUGUGAAAUCCUAGGGCUUAACCAUAGAACUGCAUUUGAAACUGUUAUUCUAGAGUAUGGGAGAGUUAGGUGGAAUUCUUGGUGUAGGGGUCCAAUCCGUAGAGAUCAAG